rnacentral:miRNA from 1 species
GUCCAGCGGAAGGGUUUCCUUCCGCUGUACGAGGUACAUGUACCUUGUCCAUCGGAAGGAACACCUUCCGCUUGGACGAGGUACAUGUACCUCGUCCAUCAGAAGGAACACCUUCCGAUUGGAC